rnacentral:rRNA from 1 species
GAUGGACGCUGGCGGCGUGCCUAAUACAUGCAAGUCGAGCGAACGGACGAGAAUCUUGCUUCUCUGAUGUUAGCGGCGGACGGGUGAGUAACACGUGGAUAACCUACCUAUAAGACUGGGGUAACUUCGGGAAACCCGAGCUAAUACCGGAUAAUAUUUUGAACAGCAUUGUUCAAAAGUGAAAGACGGUCUUGCUGUCACUUAUAGAUGGAUCCGCGCUGCAUUAGCUAGUUGGUAAGGUAACGGCUUACCAAGGCAACGAUGCAUAGCCGACCUGAGAGGGUGAUCGGCCACAUGGGAACUGAGACACGGUCCAGACUCCUACGGGAGGCAGCAGUAGGGAAUCUUCCGCAAUGGGCGAAAGCCUGACGGAGCAACGCCGCGUGAGUGAUGAAGGUCUUCGGAUCGUAAAACUCUGUUAUUAGGGAAGAACAUAUGUGUAAGUAACUGUGCACAUCUUGACGGUACCUAAUCAGAAAGCCACGGCUAACUACGUG